rnacentral:lncRNA from 10 species
CAGAGAUCAUGACUUUGGUAGAUGAGACUAACAUGUAUGAAGGUUUAUUCUUCAGUCCAAGGAAGCAAUUCACAGUCAGCUGUUAGAGAAGCAGAAAAUAGCAGAAGAAAAAAUUAAAGAACUAGAACAGAAAAAGUCCUACCUGGAGCGAAGCGUUAAGGAAGCUGAGGACAACAUCCGGGAGAUGCUGAUGGCACGAAGGGCCCAGUAGGGAGCCUCUCUGGGAAGCUCUUCCUCCUGCCCCUCCCAUUCCUGGUGGGGGCAGAGGAGUGUCUGCAGGGAAACAGCUUCUCCUCUGCCCCGAUGGAUGCUUUAUUUGGAUGGCCUGGCAACAUCACAUUUUCUGCAUCACCCUGAGCCCCAUUUGCUUCCCAGCCCUGGAGUUUUUACCCGGCUUUGCCUGCCACCUCUGCCCAGGACACUCUUCCCUCUCGGGAUGUGUGAUGAACUCCCAGGAGAGGGAAGAUGGGAGCCAGGGCAAGAUAGGAAGCUCUGCCUGAGCUUUCCACUAGGCACGCCAGCCAGACCAAUAAAAAGCGUCUGUCCCACUCUGCUAAGCCUGGUUUUCUUGAGCAGAGGGAUGGAACAGAGGGUGAGAGAGGCAGUGGCCGUCUCCACCUCAGCUCCUGCUCCCUCUGCAUCAGAGCCCUUCCUUUCUUGGGGGAUGGGCCUUGCCCUCUUCUCUUUUCCCUUCCUGUACCUUUGACUAACGCUCAGCUUCCGGGCCUGCAUGCAGUAGACAGAAGAGGAAGAAAGAACAGAUGUUCACAGCUGAAUCUCAGUGAACAGAAUAGCAGUCCCUGGAUGGCAGUCUGCCUAAAGAUUCCUUUCCCUGCCUUCUCCCAUACAUUCCAAAAGGAAGUUCAACAGUAAGCAGCACCUCCAAGACUGUCUCCUUUUGGCCAAUAUCAUAAGAUGGACGCCAUAAUCCUGAGGCCUCCUAGAGGCUGAGGGGGCAACGGUGUGAUCCAGCUGGCUCAUCCCAGCCCAGGUGGGCCAAUUAUUCAAUUUUCAAGAAUUUUGUUGCAAGCCAGUUGUCAAACACAGCCAUUAUAAUUAUGUAAAUUUGCAAAUUAUGUUAAAAACAAGGACAAUAAAUAUUCAAAAUGCAUCCC